GAUGAACGCUGGCGGCGUGCCUAAUACAUGCAAGUCGAGCGAACAGAUGAGGAGCUUGCUCCUCUGACGUUAGCGGCGGACGGGUGAGUAACACGUGGAUAACCUACCUAUCAGACUGGGAUAACUUCGGGAAACCGGAGCUAAUACCGGAUAAUAUAUUGAACCGCAUGGUUCAAUAGUGAAAGACGGUUUUGCUGUCACUUAUAGAUGGAUCCGCGCCGCAUUAGCUAGUUGGUAAGGUAACGGCUUACCAAGGCAACGAUGCGUAGCCGACCUGAGAGGGUGAUCGGCCACACUGGGACUGAGACACGGUCCAGACUCCUACGGGAGGCAGCAGUAGGGAAUCUUCCGCAAUGGGCGAAAGCCUGACGGAGCAACGCCGCGUGAGUGAUGAAGGUCUUCGGAUCGUAAAACUCUGUUAUUAGGGAAGAACAAAUGUGUAAGUAACUAUGCACGUCUUGACGGUACCUAAUCAGAAAGCCACGGCUAACUACGUG
rnacentral:rRNA from 1 species